UUCGGGGCUCCUUGGUGAUUCAUGAUAACUUAACGAAUCGCAUGGCCCUUGCGCCGGCGAUGGUUCAUUCAAAUUUCUGCCCUAUCAACUUUCGAUGGUAGGAUAGUGGCCUACCAUGGUAUCAACGGGUAACGGGGAAUUAGGGUUCUAUUCCGGAGAGGGAGCNUGAGAAACGGCUACCACAUCCAAGGAAGGCAGCAGGCGCGCAAAUUACCCAAUCCCGACACGGGGAGGUAGUGACAAUAAAUACUGAUACAGGGCUCUUUUGGGUCUUGUAAUUGGAAUGAGUACAAUUUAAAUACCUUAACGAGGAACAAUUGGAGGGCAAGUCUGGUGCCAGCAGCCGCGGUAAUUCCAGCUCCAAUAGCGUAUAUUAAAGUUGUUGCAGUUAAAAAGCUCGUAGUUGAACCUUGGGCCUGGCUGGCCGGUCCGCCUCACCGCGUGUACUGGUCCGGCCGGGCCUUUCCUUCUGGGGAACCGCAUGCCCUUCACUGGGUGUGCUGGGGAACCAGGACUUUUACUUUGAAAAAAUUAGAGUGUUCAAAGCAGGCCUUUGCUCGAAUACAUUAGCAUGGAAUAAUAGAAUAGGACGUGCGGUCCUAUUUUGUUGGUUUCUAGGACCGCCGUAAUGAUUAAUAGGGAUAGUCGGGGGCGUCAGUAUUCAAUUGUCAGAGGUGAAAUUCUUGGAUUUAUUGAAGACUAACUACUGCGAAAGCAUUCGCCAAGGAUGUUUUCAUUAAUCAGUGAACGAAAGUUAGGGGAUCGAAGACGAUCAGAUACCGUCGUAGUCUUAACCGUAAACUAUGCCGACUAGGGAUCGGACGAUGUUAUUAUUUUGACUCGUUCGGCACCUUACGAGAAAUCAAAGUC
rnacentral:rRNA from 1 species